UUUAAUUUAUUAUUUUUUCACUAACCCUCUCAGACUCACUCUGUAUCUGUCUCUCACUCACUCACGAAACCCUACACUAUUUCUCUCCCGAUCUGAGACUAACCCUACCUCAUCGGCCGCCAUCUCUAUCGCGCGCUCUCUCUGUCUCUCUCUGUCUCUCUCUCUCUCUCUCUCUCUCUCUUAGUCACAUAUUUAAGUCUCUUAGAGACGCGAGACUCAUUCUUUUUCUCCAAACCUAACCAAACAUCAAUCCAAUAUCAUUGGUUUUUGGAGCGAAUCCUUGUAAAUUUUGGAGGGCUCUGGUUCAUUCUAAGUUGUUGUGCUUAGUCUCUGUGGGUUUGGAUUAAUAGGCAAAAUUGAAGAUUGUUGCGUUGCAGCUUUCUGUGGUCCGAAUUGCCCCGAAUUGUGUCUUUGCACUGAGUGGUGCAGGACUUUUCAAACUUAUCGGAGAGAUAUACAUGGAGGAGAAAAGGAAGAAGUAAAAGUACUGCUGGGCAGUAAAUUAUGAGCUUCUCAACAUGUUAAAUUCAAUGUGACAAUUUUAGUCAGACCCUCAUUUUUGGGUGGCUCAGGGCCAGAAAUUAAAUAAGGUCUCUCACACACGCCUAUAAACACCGCCGCCUCUCUUUCCUCUCUCCGCUUCGUGUUUUAAAGUUUUGUCACCGGAAGAAGUUGUGGACCGGGUCGGGUAAGAGCAGAUCGAACAAAAUCAAAUGGAAUCGUUUAAGAGUAAGGUGGAGGAGGAGUACAACCCGUUCAACAUGUCGAUGAAUAAAUCACGCUUGUCGAGACUCAUUCGAACGGAGUUGGAGGAUAUGCAAUCCAAUCCCUCUGCCGAUUUCAUGUGCCUCUCGCUCGAGUCGAACCUGCGGGACUUGCAAUUUGCAAUCAGAGGCCCUAAUGGAACUGAAUUCGAGGGUGGGAUUUAUCAUGGCCAGAUCAAGAUUCCGGAGGAAUACCCACACAAGCCUCCUAUAAUCACGUUGUUGUCGGAAAAUGGUCGCUUCAAAACCCAAACCGAGAUCGAUUAUUUCAGCAAUUUUUUUGGGGGUCCACGCAAUAAAUUGCGACAUGCUUUACUUAGACUUAUCGAGUUAUUGCCCACCUACCCAGAUGGUGCGUUGGGUUCAGUAGAAUACGAUAAGGAAGAAAGGCGUGUCCUGGCAAUCAAAUCUCGUUUAGCAGCCCCAAGAUAUGGCACUGAUGAACGGCAGAAUUUAAUUAAUUAGAUUCAUAAAUAUAUGCUAAGCAAGACACCCCCAGUUCCUUCAAACGGGGGAGGGGACCAAAAUGAUCGAGCCAGAAGAAAGCAGGGCAUAGUUACCAAAAAAAGAAAAAGAAAGCAGGACAAGAUUUUAUUUUGUAAUAAUACAGUUAAUGCUCACAACUGCGAGCGGGUAGGAUUUUUCGAUUUUGAGAAGAAGCUCAGAAGCCCUUGAACGAAUCGGUGAAACUAUUGUUUUUUGAAGGACAGCGAUAUUUUAUCACAUUUUCAUCCAUUUAUCAUCAAUAUAUUGAAAAUUUCCUUGAUAA